rnacentral:rRNA from 1 species
GACAGAGGGUGCAAACGUUUGUUCGGAAUUACUGGGCGUAAAGCGCGUGUAGGCGGCUAUGCAAGUCGGAUGUGAAAGCCCUCGGCUCAACCGGGGAAGUGCACCCGAAACUGCAAAGCUAGAGUCUCGGAGAGGAUCGUGGAAUUCUCGGUGUAGAGGUGAAAUUCGUAGAUAUCGAGAGGAACACCGGUGGCGAAAGGCGGC